CUCUGCCCUUCUUCCCCUCUCCCUCUCUCCUUGUCUCUCUCCUCCUUCCCCUCUCCCUCUCUCCCUCUCUCUCUCUCUCUCUCUCUCUCUCUCUCUCUCUCUCUCUCUCUCUCUCUCUCUCUGUAGUUUAACGCUUUAAAUCCAGCUGAAGAAUCUUCUUUAGCGCCAUUCACAUUUGUCUCUGGAACAAAGAGACCAGUAGGAGAGCUUCGGACUGAUUAAAGCGGAGUAAAAUGACUUUCCUCUUGUUUACUGCUUCGCCAUCGUGAAAACGACACUGACGCUUUUACACAGUGACGAGGAAAAAACAGAAGGGAAGAAAAGGGCUCGCGCACCUCUCGCUCUUAAAGGGACAGCGCGCGGACGGUCGACGUGCGAGUUCUCCGGAGCCGUACAGCUUCAGCGCUCGUUCAGAUCUGAUGUGAUGUGAUGUGAUGUGAUGAGUCGUGACUGUGAGCUCAGGGCUCUGUCAGCUCUCCACUGAAACAGAUACCCGCAAAGCCAAAAAGAAAUGAAAACCGACCCUGGAUCUAUCAACAGCCGUAUGACUAAUUUAUCACACUCUCACUGAGACUUUAUUAUGGACAUUUAAACGAAGCAGUUCAAGCUUUUUAACCGAGAGCCGAAUUAAAUUAAAUGUUAAACUCCACGGCAGAUUUAAGGAUCGCAGCAGCAGUGAAAUAAAACUUCAGAUGUUGUAUAUCUCA